CCUUUAUCUCGUUUCGAGCAAGCUCUUUCGUCUUUAUUUUGUAUUGCACUUAGUUCACGUGUUUUAUUGAGUACAACUGAUUAUAAAAGUCCCUCUUUAAUUCGCUUACAGUUUACCAGAUUGAUUAAAGCUAAGUCUCCGUAACGUAUCCCCUGGUUUGGUUGGUAUUUUCUCCGGUCGCGAUUUUCUCGGCGCUUCAUUCGGUCUUGAUGUUCGCUUGCCGUCACAACCCCGUUGACCUAAAGUUUUGUGGACCACAACAAAUCCCCCAUGACAAGGCCAAAACCGACCUCCAUAAAAGCUCGAUAGCCUGCAUGUAAACACCCCAAGUAAAAUUCACAAUCUCCAACCGAAGACCGAAGGCGGUAGAUCAUUCGCAGUCACUACCUGUAACCUUUGGAAUAGCUCAAGUCUAGAACUCAGGAAUUCUGUGUCAUUAGGAUCUUUUAAGAACAAUUAUAGAAACAGCCUUCUUAAGAACAGCCCUCCUCUUAAGGCCAGUACAAGAUGAAGAACAGAUCCACCCUGGAUCUUGUAGUCUGCAGCAGUUUUGUCAUCAUUCCUUC